CACUGCCGAGAAAAGCCUCUAGAUAGAAAAUAGGUGCCCGUACCGCAAACCGACACAGGUAGUCAAGAUGAGAAUUCUAAGGUGAGCGAGCGAACUCUCGUUAAGGAACUCGGCAAAAUGACCCCGUAACUUCGGGAGAAGGGGUGCUCUUUAGGGUUAACGCCCAGAAGAGCCGCAGUGAAUAGGCCCAAGCGACUGUUUAUCAAAAACACAGGUCUCUGCUAAACCGUAAGGUGAUGUAUAGGGGCUGACGCCUGCCCGGUGCUGGAAGGUUAAGAGGAGUGGUUAGCUUCUGCGAAGCUACGAAUCGAAGCCCCAGUAAACGGCGGCCGUAACUAUAACGGUCCUAAGGUAGCGAAAUUCCUUGUCGGGUAAGUUCCGACCCGCACGAAAGGCGUAACGAUUUGGGCACUGUCUCAACGAGAGACUCGGUGAAAUCAUAGUACCUGUGAAGAUGCAGGUUACCCGCGACAGGACGGAAAGACCCCGUGGAGCUUUACUGUAGCCUGAUAUUGAAAUUCGGCACAGCUUGUACAGGAUAGGUAGGAGCCUUUGAAACGUGAGCGCUAGCUUACGUGGAGGCGCUGGUGGGAUACUACCCUAGCUGUGUUGGCUUUCUAACCCGCACCACUUAUCGUGGUGGGAGACAGUGUCAGGC
rnacentral:rRNA from 1 species